rnacentral:rRNA from 1 species
GACGAACGCUGGCGGCGUGCUUAACACAUGCAAGUCGAACGGAAAGGCCCUGCUUUUGUGGGGUGCUCGAGUGGCGAACGGGUGAGUAACACGUGAGUAACCUGCCCUUGACUUUGGGAUAACUUCAGGAAACUGGGGCUAAUACCGGAUAGGAGCUCCUGCUGCAUUGUGGGGGUUGGAAAGUUUCUGCGGUUGGGGAUGGACUCGCGGCUUAUCAGCUUGUUGGUGGGGUAGUGGCUUACCAAGGCUUUGACGGGUAGCCGGCCUGAGAGGGUGACCGGCCACAUUGGGACUGAGAUACGGCCCAGACUCCUACGGGAGGCAGCAGUGGGGAAUAUUGCACAAUGGGCGGAAGCCUGAUGCAGCAACGCCGCGUGCGGGAUGACGGCCUUCGGGUUGUAAACCGCUUUCGCCUGUGACGAAGCGUGAGUGACGGUAAUGGGUAAAGAAGCACCGGCUAACUACGUG